UAGCGGCCGCGAGGCAGCCAAAUGGCGACGCUCGCCUCCACUCCCUUCCUUCGUCCAGGCGUCGCCGGCUUUGUGGUAAGCCAAAUAUCUUCUCCUCCCUGCUGAUGUGUUUCCUUCCUGUUUCUUUUUGUCACCUUCCUCCAGUUCUGUUUGCUCUGCUGCUGCCUCGACGCGUUCUGUGUUCAACUUGCUUUGCAUCGUUUGGAGAGAUCGUGUUUCGUCCCAUGGUCCGUCGUUCGUACGUGACUACAUGGCCUCGCUGGUCUAGAUGUCGGCCAGGUUUUUGCCAACAAAGUUGAAGCCGGCUCUCUGCGUCGCGUGUACACGGAUUACCCAACACAUAUCUGGGUACAUGGGCGUCCGAUAGGUGGAGGCCCCGGGAGAGGCGCAGGGAUGGGCGUCCGUCGUCGUCGGGCGAGCGCUGCCGGCUGGAUGGCGGAGCAGACAUUGUUGAUGUAGUGCCGGCCGGCGCGCCAGUCAGAACCGGGCGCCAUGCCAGCGUCGGCAGUGGUGUCCGGUCCGGCCGGCGCCGCACGCGCGUUCCAGUAGGCGGGAAGCAGAUCGAGCUCGAACAGCCGAGCCGGACACCAAUGCUUCGCCUAGCCUCCGUUCGUCCGUCCGCAGGCGGCAGGUCGCAGUGCACGAUGCUUUGUUUCUCCACCAGGUGCGUCGUUUUCUACCGCUACCGAGAUUCCUGCAAAUUGUACGUGUGCAUGCCAAAGUUGUUACCACCCGUUUCUGCCAUGCUCUAGACUUUUCCAGCCGGCUUGACCCCCAGCACACCCCAAGGGUCAAAGGCCGCCCGCCUGCCCGCCCGCCCGCCGCCAUGGCUCUGCAAAGGCACUGGCCGAAAAGGCGAGUCAUUGACUGACCCGAGGAGAGGACAUACUACCCGAUAUGGGGCGUAGCACAGUGCCCGCGCGGGUGAUAUGACGCAGGCAGCGUGACGUUUCCGUCCGCGAGGGACGCCACGCGCGACGCCCCAAGCUGCUUAGCUUUACGCGGCCAACGAAACCACCGGAGUCCGGAGACGGAGAGGGUAGAAGUGGACGACGCCUUCCCCCUUCCUGGUGCUUGUCCGAGCUGUGUACGCCGCCGCUGGCGCCGUGUGGGCGUGUGGCGGUGGCCCGCUCCAGCGAGCGCCGGCCAACGGCGGAUCGAUGGGUCGAUUUAUAUCUAGCUGAUUCAGACAGAUUACAUUCAUCUCAGGCAUGCAUCCGCGGUUGGCGACCUCGCGUGCCGCCAUUGCCGGAGGCUGGCUGGCUGGCUGGAUGGGCGUCCGCCGCGCCGGUGUUACAUCUCAGGUGUGGUUUCUUCCUGCUGUCGUCCCGUACUCGUCCCUCGCUGUUCUAAAUUUUCUUGAGGCUUGUGUUUGACAUCUCUCGUCGGUGCUGUUUCCAUCGCAGGGAAGACGCUUGCCAAGAUUCCUGCGGUUCCAGACUGAUUGGUGAGAUUACAGUUAUAAGGGUGGGUCGAUUAUCAAACUCUGCCUACUGAAUGCCUGACUGCUUCAGGUCAUUGCUUGUUGUUUUGUAGUACUCCCUCUGUCCCUUAAUAUAAGACUUUUUUGCAGUUCAAAUUGAACCAACUUAUACGAUCACAACAUACGUCUAUAUUUGCCUUAGGAUUUUUCUUUAGUGCCACAGACUGAAAAAUUAUACUACUCGAGUUUUUUUUUUGAUAAAUCAGCAAUAUGGGAUGGAAUUAGAAACAAGUCUGAAAGGUAGCAUCUGCGUCAGGUUAUAUAUAAGUUGCAUCCACAUAACCUGAUUUCUCACUCAGCUGCGUAUAUAAGACUGACAACAGACUGAUAUGUUAAUCUGAGCAUCACACACAGCCUUGGCAAAGCACAAAAGGUAAGGCAACAGAGCAAGCAACAGAUAACUUAACAAGGACACACCCACACACACACUGUUGGUGUUAACCCACCGCCCUUUUAUUGAAUUUGCCCCUCGUGCCUUUGCUGCACCUUACAAACACAACUCUUUCAGUAACUGGGGAAGAGUGUGGCAUCAGCCACAGAGCUUUGCUUGAACCAAAUGCAUGCACAUCACAUGGCUGCUCAAGUCCUUCUGGAGUUCCCGCCGCUCGCACUAGUGCCGGCAUCGCUAUUUUGUUGCGCCAACAUCUGCAGUCCAGAGGCAACAAAGCAAAGCUUGUAAAUAACUCUUUGUACAUGGAUUCAGAGGAUACAGUAACAUCCAGUUUCAGUUUACACGCCAAAUAGGCUUAUAAUAGUCUUUGUGUUGACUGAACUCUGAUGCCAGGCUCUGUUUCAAAAUUUAAUUUCCUGUGUGUGUGCAGGACUGACAGGAUAUAUUCUGAUGUCUCCAUUUUUUCUGUCAUUUCAGGCGGCCUGCAAUACAAACAGCCUUACUAAUGCCAUGGAAUAAGCUACACAAUACUCAGAAAAAAUGGCAACAGAACCAACUUGUCGCUCUCUUACGGUAAACAUCAAUGGUAGCCCGAUUCUUGUAUAGCCAGAACAUCUGUUGAAUUCACAUCACAGGACAGUUCAUCCAAGUACAGUUCUACACAAUGCAGGUCUAUAGCACAGUAGCACAUCUACCUUUAUUGCUGAAGUUAGAAAAUGUACUAGCAGCUUAAUUCCUCUGAGUUAUGCUGAAACAGUGAAACUAUCAAACACAGCCAUAUGUAUUGUGAAUUAGCCAAUGAGUUUUUUUUUCAAUGUAUUUUACCUAUCAUUUACCAAGAUAUAGGAACUGACACGUUGAGGACCAUUCUUUUAAGAGUCCGGAUGCAACUACAUCAUUGAACUGUGUGUUGUGCUUAAGAAUAGUCAAUCCAAAUGAAAAAUAUAUGCCGUACACCAUUAGGUAGGAGAUUGUUUUUGUUAAG
rnacentral:lncRNA from 1 species